UUAGAUCUGAGAGGUGGAUUUAAUACUCACGAACCUAAAAGCAUUUUUAAUCUUGCAGUUAUUCUAGCAAAUGAACCGGUCGAUUUACUUCUAUUACCUGGGCUUGCAUUUGACAGAUCAGGGCUGCGCUUGGGCCGUGGCGGAGGUUACUAUGACACCUUCCUGAUGAGAUACCAAGAGCUUGCAAAGGAGCGGAACUGGAAGCAACCUCUCUG